rnacentral:rRNA from 1 species
GACGAACGCUGGCGGCGCGCCUAACACAUGCAAGUCGAGCGAGAACCAUUCCUUCGGGAAUGGGGACAGCGGCGAACGGGUGAGUAACACGUGGGUAAUCUGCCCUCGGUUCUGGGAUAGCCCGGGGAAACCCGGAUUAAUACCGGAUAGCCUCUUGAGCCUUCGGGUUCUCGAGAAAAGGUAGCUUCGGCCUCCGACUGAGGAUGAGCCCGCGGCGGAUUAGCUUGUUGGCGGGGUAACGGCCCACCAAGGCUACGAUCCGUAGCUGGUCUGAGAGGACGAUCAGCCACACUGGGACUGAGACACGGCCCAGACUCCUACGGGAGGCAGCAGUGGGGAAUCUUGCGCAAUGGGCGAAAGCCUGACGCAGCGACGCCGCGUGCGGGAAGAAGGCCUUCGGGCUGUAAACCGUUUUCAGGGGGGACGAAGCCACUCGGGUUAAUAGCCCAGAGGGUGACGGUACCUCCAGAAGAAGCCCCGGCUAACUACGUGCCAGCAGCCGCGGUAAUACGUAGGGGGCAAGCGUUGUCCGGAUUUAUUGGGCGUAAAGAGCGUGUAGGCGGCCAGCUAGGUCUGACGUGAAAUCUCGAGGCUCAACCUCGAGCGGUCGUUGGAAACCGUCUGGCUAGAGUCCGGAAGAGGAGAGUGGAAUUCCUGGUGUAGCGGUGAAAUGCGCAGAUAUCAGGAAGAACACCCAUGGCGAAGGCAGCUCUCUGGGACGGUACUGACGCUGAGACGCGAAAGCGUGGGGAGCGAACAGGAUUAGAUACCCUGGUAGUCCACGCCGUAAACGAUGGGUGCUAGGUGUGGGCGGUGUCGACUCCGUCCGUGCCGCAGCUAACGCAUUAAGCACCCCGCCUGGGGAGUACGGCCGCAAGGCUA